AGUGAACGCUGGCGGUAGGCCUAACACAUGCAAGUCGAACGGCAGCACAGUAAGAGCUUGCUCUUACGGGUGGCGAGUGGCGGACGGGUGAGGAAUACAUCGGAAUCUACUUUUUCGUGGGGGAUAACGUAGGGAAACUUACGCUAAUACCGCAUACGACCUACGGGUGAAAGCAGGGGAUCUUCUGACCUUGCGCGAUUGAAUGAGCCGAUGUCGGAUUAGCUAGUUGGCGGGGUAAAGGCCCACCAAGGCGACGAUCCGUAGCUGGUCUGAGAGGAUGAUCAGCCACACUGGAACUGAGACACGGUCCAGACUCGUACGGGAGGAAGCAGUGGGGAAUAUUGGACAAUGGGCGCAAGCCUGAUCCAGCCAUACCGCGUGGGUGAAGAAGGCCUUCGGGUUGUAAAGCCCUUUUGUUGGGAAAGAAAAGCAGCAGGUUAAUACCCCGCUGUUCUGACGGUACCCAAAGAAUAAGCACCGGCUAACUUCGUG
rnacentral:rRNA from 1 species